GGUCCGUUGGUCAAGCGGUUAAGACACUGCCCUUUCACGGCGGUAACACGGGUUCGAAUCCCGUACGGAUCA
rnacentral:tRNA from 1 species